AACGUAGGUGGCGAGCGUUAUCCGGAUUUACUGGGCGUAAAGGGUGUGCAGGCUGCCCCUCAAGUGGUGUAUGAAAGGGCUCGGCUCAACCGGGCUAGGUUAUGCCAGACUGAGGGGCCAGAGAGCGAGAGCGGGACGUGGAAUUCCGGGUGUAGUGGUGAAAUGCGUAGAGAUCCGGAGGAACCCCAGAGGCGAAGGCGGCGUCCUGGCUCGCAUCUGACGCUCAGACACGACAGCAUGGGGAGCGAACAGG
rnacentral:rRNA from 1 species